ACACCGGCGGCCCGAGUGGUGAUCGUGAUUAUUGGGUCUAAAGGGUCCGUAGCCGGUUUGGUCAGUCCUCCGGGAAAUCUGAUAGCUCAACUAUUAGGCUUUCGGGGGAUACUGCCAGACUUGGAACCGGGAGAGGUAAGAGGUACUACAGGGGUAGGAGUGAAAUCUUGUAAUCCCUGUGGGACCACCUGUGGCGAGGGCGGCUUCCCAGAACGGGUUCGACGGUGAGGGACGAAAGCUGGGGGCACAAACCGGAUUAGAUACCCGGGUGGUCCCAGCCGUAAACGAUGCUCGCUAGGUGUCAGGCAUGGCGCGACCGUGUCUGGUGCCGCAGGGAAGCCGUGAAGCGAGCCACCUGGGAAGUACGGCCGCAAGGCUGAAACUCAAAUGAAUUGGCGGGG
rnacentral:rRNA from 1 species